CACAAAUGGACGAGAAAGUGUAAUCUCUCCGAGUUUCUAAGAGGCAAUUCAUCACCGGAAGCAUAAACCGAAGACAAACAGCAAGGAAAUGGUUGACCACGAGUCAAGAUGCUGACCAUGAAUCCAAAUUGCGACCAACAAGGACUGGGAAGGCAAGGAGAUGGCCUUCUCCCUUCUUCAUGACUUGGUCAUGACCAUGAGUUAGCCAACAAGUGAGAUCCAGGUGCUAAAUCUGUCAGGACCACCU